GGACGAACGCUGGCGGCGUGCCUAAUCCAUGCAAGUCGAGCGAAGUUUUUCUGGUGCUUGCACUAGAAAAACUUAGCGGCGAACGGGUGAGUAACACGUAAAGAACCUGCUUCAUAGCUGGGGCCAACUAUUGGAAACGAUAGCUAAUACCGGAUAACAGCAUUAACUGCAUGGUGGAUGUUAAAAAGUUGGUUUUGUUACCACUAGGAGAUGGCUUUGCGGUGCAUUAGCUAGUUGGUGGGGUAAAGGCCUACCAAGGCGACGAUGCAUAGCCGACCUGAGAGGGUGAUCGGCCACACUGGGACUGAGACACGGCCCAGACUCCUACGGGAGGCAGCAGUAGGGAAUCUUCCGCAAUGGGCGAAAGCCUGACGGAGCAACGCCGCGUGAGUGAAGAAGGAUUUCGGUUCGUAAAGCUCUGUUGUUAGGGAAGAAUGAUUGUGUAGUAACUAUACACAGUAGAGACGGUACCUAACCAGAAAGCCACGGCUAACUACGUG
rnacentral:rRNA from 1 species